AACGUAGGAGACAAACGUUAUCCGGAGUUACUGGGCGUAAAGGGCGUGUAGGCGGUUGGUUAAGUUCGGCGUGAAAGCUCUCGGCUAAACCGGGAGAGGUCGUCGGAUACUAGCCAACUUGAGGAUGGUAGAGGCGUGUGGAAUUCCGGGUGUAGUGGUGAAAUGCGUAGAGAUCCGGAGGAACACCAGUGGCGAAGGCGACACGCUGGGCCAUACCUGACGCUAAAGCGCGACAGCAUGGGGAGCAAACGGG
rnacentral:rRNA from 1 species